UACAGAGGUCUCAAGCGUUGUUCGGAUUCAUUGGGCGUAAAGGGUGCGUAGGCGGCGCGGUAAGUCGGGUGUGAAAUCCCGGGGCUCAACCCCGUGACUGCAUCCGAUACUGUCAGGCUAGAGGUAGGUAGGGGAGAUCGGAAUUCCUGGAUGUAGCGGUGAAAUGACGCAGAUAUCAGGAGGAACACCGGUGGCGAAGGCGGAUCUCUGGGCCUUACCUGACGCCUCGAGGCGCGAAAAGCUAGGGGAGCGAACAGG
rnacentral:rRNA from 1 species